rnacentral:pre_miRNA from 4 species
UUUUAUGAAUGAGCAAAGAAAGUGUUUUCUUGAGAUGAAAUCUACUUCUGAUGAAGAUGCUGUGAA